rnacentral:rRNA from 1 species
GCAUAUCAAUAAGCGGAGGAAAAGAAACCAACAGGGAUUGCCCUAGUAACGGCGAGUGAAGCGGCAACAGCUCAAAUUUGAAAUCUGGCUCUCUUUGGGGGUCCGAGUUGUAAUUUGCAGAGGAUGCUUUGGCAUUGGCGGCGUUCUAAGUUCCUUGGAACAGGACAUCACAGAGGGUGAGAAUCCCGUACGUGGUCGCCUGCCUUUGCCGUGUAAAGCUCCUUCGACGAGUCGAGUUGUUUGGGAAUGCAGCUCUAAAUGGGAGGUAAAUUUCUUCUAAAGCUAAAUACCGGCCAGAGACCGAUAGCGCACAAGUAGAGUGAUCGAAAGAUGAAAAGUACUUUGGAAAGAGAGUCAAAAAGCACGUGAAAUUGUUGAAAGGGAAGCGCUUGCAGCCAGACUUGCCCGCAGUUGCUCACCUAGGCUUUGGCCUGGGGCACUCUUCUGCGGGCAGGCCAGCAUCAGUUUGGGCGGUUGGAUAAAGGCCUCUGUCACGUAUCUCCCUCCGGGGUGACCUUAUAGGGGAGGCGUAAUGCAACCAGCCCGGACUGAGGUCCGCGCAUCUGCUAGGAUGCUGGCGUAAUGGCUGUAAGCGGCCCGUCUUGAAACACGGACCAAGGAGUCUAACAUCUAUGCGAGUGUUUGGGUGUCAAGCCCGGGCGCGCAAUGAAAGUGAACGGAGGUGGGAACCCUUUGGGUGCACCAUCGACCGAUCCUGAUGUCUUCGGAUGGAUUUGAGUAAGAGCAUAGCUGUUGGGACCCGAAAGAUGGUGAACUAUGCUUGAAUAGGGUGAAGCCAGAGGAAACUCUGGUGGAGGCUCGCAGCGGUUCUGACGUGCAAAUCGAUCGUCAAAUUUGGGCAUAGGGGCGAAAGACUAAUCGAACCAUCUAGUAGCUGG